CACCAAACACCUCUCGUAUACCAACUGCCAGUAAGAAACACCCACUGCCUUUGCAUACCUAUUUCCUGAUAUGCAGUGGCAAUAUUAUAGACUCACUCUCCAGGUGAGCUGCAACAUUAGGGAUCUUAAAUAGCACCAGCCUGGAUUACUGAGCUGUGGCUAGAAGUUCUAAGUUGCUGCAGUGGAGCUCUUUGAAGAGGAUGCAACUCUUUGAAGAGGCCUGAUGACAUGAGGUUUCAGGGACAUGAAUUCUAAUGUUAAAAUUAGAGUAGAGGAUGGCACCGCAGUGUUUGGGAGCCUAAGGGCCUAAGAGACAAAAUGUAAUCUCCACAACCUCUCCUACAGCUUCUUUGGGCUAACUGACCACUCGUUUAGGCAAAUAUUCAGAAAGAGGACUGCUGAAUUCAGUUAAGGGCCACCUUCUGAACAUAGAGUUAGUGUUGCACUAGGAUUAGCGCCC